UUCUAGUAGUCGAUAGUCCUAAUCGAUUGUAAUUUAUGUUUGCGUGACUCAUAUUUUGCUAUACUACUGUUACACUACAGUCGGCAGAAUAGUGCUGUCGGAGUAGGUGUUUGUCAAAUUGAAUUAAUUGUCAGACGUACUACAAAUUUUUUGAAGUUUAAGCACAUUAGAAAAAUCGAAAACAAGAAAGUUAUUCUUGUCGAAACAAAAUGUUUCGUAGCUCGCCUACUUUUGAUAAAUUAUUAGAGAAAGCGACGACUAAUUUACAACUUGAAACAGAUUGGGUUGCAAUUCUUCAAAUUUGUGAUUUAAUACGUCAAGGAGAUGUGCAGCCUAAAGCAGCACUUGCAGCCAUAAAGAAGAAAGUAACAAAUAGUAAUCCACAUGUAGCUUCAUAUGCUUUAAUGGUGCUGGAAUCUUGUGUAAAAAAUUGUGGCACACUGAUACAUGAUGAAAUCGGUACAAAACAAUACAUGGAGCAGCUUAAAGAACUAGUUAAAACAACACCACACGAAAAUGUUAAACUGAAAACUUUAGAAUUGAUUCAAGCCUGGGCACAUGCUUUUCGGAAUAGUCCUAAAUACAGAGCAGUACAAGAUACGCUUAAUAUUAUGAAAGCUGAAGGCCAUAAGUUUCCUACUUUGAAAGAAAGCGAUGCCAUGUUUCGUGCUGAUAUUGCUCCACAAUGGGUAGAUGGUGAUGUAUGUCAUAGGUGUCGCGUAUCGUUUACUUUGGUGCAACGAAAACAUCAUUGUAGAGCAUGUGGGCAAGUGUUUUGUAACCAAUGUUCAAGUAAAAACUGUACUUUACCAAAAUUUGGAUUUGAGAAGGAAGUUCGAGUUUGUGAAGCAUGUUAUGAACAAGUACAUAAACCGUCAACUGCACCAAUUAAGGAACCAGAUCUGCCUGCUGAAUAUCUCAAUAGCUCUCUGGCUCAACAGCAACAAGUACCGCCUAGAAAAACGGCAACAGAACUUCAAGAAGAAGAGGAGCUCAAUCUUGCUAUAGCUUUAAGCCAAAGUGAAGCAGAACAUAAAGAAAAGGAAAAGAAACGAGCAACCAGCGCUUUAAAGUCAAAUACGGGAACGAUAUCCAGGACAACGUAUUCUCCACCACCUUCACCCGGUCCUAGUCCAUCGAAGUUGCAAGAAGAGGAAGAAGUUGAACCUGAACUUGCAAAAUAUUUAAAUCGUAAAUAUUGGGAACAGAGACAAACGGCAAUCGAAGAACACGGUUCUAGAGUAGAUGUUACAAGUCCUUCUGCUCCUAAUAUAAGCAGUCCAAUGCCUCAAAAAGUCGUAAUCGUGAAGCAACAAAAUGGCGAAGUUGAUAAUCAGAUGGAAGAAUUUGUCAGUGCUUUACGUUCCCAGGUUGAAAUUUUUGUUAACAGAAUGAAGAGCAACUCGUCGAGAGGUAGAUCGAUUGCUAACGAUAGUUCUGUGCAAACCUUAUUUUUGAAUAUCACCGCUAUGCACUCGAGAUUACUAACGUACAUUCAAGAACAAGAUGAUAGUAGAGUAUAUUACGAGGGUCUUCAAGAUAAAUUAACGCAAAUGAAAGAUGCUAGAGCCGCGUUAGACGCAUUGCGAGAGGAACACAGAGAAAAAUUACGGAGACAAGCUGAAGAAGCUGAAAGGCAAAGGCAGAUGUUGAUGGCUCAGAAAUUGGCUAUUAUGAGAAAGAAAAAACAAGAAUAUCUACAAUAUCAACGUCAGCUUGCUUUGCAGAAAAUUCAAGAGCAAGAAAGAGAAAUGCAAAUGAGACAAGAACAGCAAAAGCAGCAAUACAUAAUGGGUGGUUAUCAAGCUGUUUCUGGUUUUAUCGGGCCAUCUCAAGGUUCACCAGUUCGUCACAUGCAGUAUCAAACGCCUGGAUCAAACUAUAAUCCUAUGUCUCCGACAAGUCAAGGAUUCAUGUACGGACAACCUUCGAUGAAGCAAUAUCCGUUACAAAAUUACAAUAUGCCACCAAUGAAUUCCAUGUUACCGCACGUGAUGGGACCGAUGCCUAAUCCAGAGCAACAACCAACAGAUCCAUCCAUUCAAGGACACGAAGCUAUGGGUCGGGUUUCUGUUUCUGGACCUGGGAUGAUAUCUCAAAUGACCAAUCCCAUACCGCAACUUCAGCAGGUAGGUGGACAUCAGAUGGGACCGCCACCGCCACAACAGGGUCCACCAAGUCAUAUAACACAAGGACAACCUACACCGGGACAUAUACCACAACAACAAGGUGCUCCUCCGCAAAUUGCACAAGCAGGACCACCGAGUCAAAUAGGUAUGCCCCAGGUACCUCAGGGUCACAUGGGUCCUUCACCUACACAAAUCGGAUCUGGUGCACACGGUCCUCCGGGUCAAGUAGUCGGCCUUCCACCACAGAUGGGACCGCAACAACAAUCUACAGGUCCUCAAGGACCUUCGAUGCCGCCUCAUGUUUCGAAUACUCCUAUUUCAUCCCAGGGAUCAACUUCUAUUAAGGUACCCCCAGGAACUACGACCACGUCGAUUCUGACAUCGAAUCAAACGAUGCAAGGUCCGCAAGGACCUGCUGUACCAACGAUGCAAGGUAUGCCCCAGGCCCCCAUAUCCCAGGGACAACAGAUGCAAUUUCAACCAUCAACUCCUAUGUCAGCGGCAUCCAACGAAAGUACAUCGGUGAAAGAAGAUGCGAAACCGGAAACAGCAGAGUUGAUUUCCUUCGAUUGAAAGAUCCUUUCGUACAUAAAGAUUAACUGAUAAUGAGAAGUGCAUUUAAGGUGAAUGACGUUUCCUCAGAAUGUUUUCUAAUCACAGUCGAUGGUUCACCGUUAGUCGAAGAAGCAGAAAUUUGACCAUCAUUCUUUUCUUGACAUAUAUGUGAUAUGCUCAGUCCAUUGGAUGUUAAUGAUGCUUUUCGAAGACGCAUAUCUUCCAAAGGAAUUUCCUCGCUACGUGGCCUUGGCAUCUUGGGUGAACUGUCUCGAGAACGUAAACCGUUUUCAUGGCCCUUUUCACUCGUGUUAUUAUCGGCACGUUUUGGAGUUGAUGUCAAAACACCAGAGGUAGGUCUAGUAGUAUUAUCUCUACGCAUUUGUGCUGCGAAGCCAGGAACUUUGUUUACAGUGAACAUUGGACGCGGUUGAUCUUUCUGCCUUUGUCCGCGUCCUAAUCCUGAAAUCAAACCACUCAGUGUUAUUUAGUUCUUCUGUCCUUCAACAGUCGGUUCUCUUUUCCAUGACACAUAUAUAUCUUACGUUCGUGUCGUAAACCACGUAAAGCGUAAUUGGGUGGUGUCGAAGAAUGAGGUAUACUGGUGGGAAUGUCUAGUAAUCGUGCAAUUUGGUUCAUUUUCUUCUGACGUGCUUUUAUCCUCCCCUUCGUUAACCUUUAAUUAGAGAUAAGUAGAAUAAAUAAAAGAAACAACAUGUAUUAUUUUUAACACGCGUUAGUCGUAUUGUAAUUACUCACCUUUGUUUGGCGGCCAAACAUCUAAUAUGGUCAUCGAAAAUGAACUUUGUUGAUAACAGUGGAACACGAUUACCGGUACUACUACUCAGUGGUUUGUAAAUUGUUAAGUGCAAACAUCUGGAAUCAUCUUUGUCGCCAGCUACUUCGAUAUCUUGCAAAAAACCUACUAGUUUUGCUACUCCCCAACCGAGUUUGCUAGUAUCAGGUUCAACAAGAAUUAGUUGUACAACAUCGAUGACUAGAAAACGGCGGAUCUUCUGGCCAUCUUUCCAUACAACCGUACACGCGAUUAAAUCGCUGUUAUCUAUUUAAAAGUGUGUUUAUUAGCGUCUAAUUUAUUUUCUAAUUUAAAGUCAAAUAAUAUAUGAAAAUGGAAAGGUUUUUACUUAGAUCAAGAACAUUAUCGACUUGAACACAGUUGGCUGGAUUUGUCAAUGGCAACUGUGCUUCUACUUCCAUGUUUAGAGUCAAUGAAAGUUCUCUUAUUAAAAAGAAUACUCUUAUAGCGCGUCGUGCUCUUUCAACCUGUGCAAGCAUUAAUUUUGUUUUCUAUUAGUAAAUGUAACAAACACACUAUAUUAAUAAUAUACGUUACAAGGUAAAAAAAAAUUUAUACUUAAUAUACUUACUUCUCCACAUGGUAAUCUCUUAGUAAAUUCGAUACCCGUCAUCGGGGUUCCCGUUGGAGGUAAUAAAAUGUUACUGUCCAUCAUUAGCCACUCGACGUUUAAUGGUCGUUUCUGAAUUUCGCUAUAUUCAUCUUCAAACAUGUCUAGGAAUAUGUCUUCGCUCUAGAGACGAAAUAAAAUUUUAAUUUAGUGACAGUUUUUAAACCAGAGUAAGAGACAAUAAGUUAUAAUAACGAACCUUAUAAAAAUUUUUUAAUAACGAUGUGCUUUGUUCUUUAGCUGCUUCAAUUGCUGCCAUAUGCGUGUCUUUUAGUGUAUUUUGUCCAUCUGACAUUACCAAUUGAAUUAACAAUUUAAUCGUCAAUUCCAAUGUAACGAGUCUCACUUUAGAAUCUGAAAAAAAUAUCAUUUGUAAAAACGUAAAUCAUUAAUUGAAAUAUCUAAUAAGCUUUGAAAAUUGACUCACUUGUUUGACAACUUAACGUUAUAAUAUGAAUUAGUCUACCGAUUAAAAGUUCGUUAUAAAGACUCGUUGAAUUUCGCGGAUUACAUAAAAUUGGUUCCAAAGUUUUACGAUCUAUGCCCUUAAACAAUUAUUUCAUUAAAAUAAUUGUACGAAAUAAUUGCACAGAAUAGUUUUUAAAAUAUCUUACCUGGUUGUUAACUAGAGCAUAGAGUAAACAUAACGCAAAUAAUGUUGCGUAAUCGUUCUCAGUGCAAAACAAGGAAUUUAAGAUCGUUUCUAAGAACGGCUUAUUCGACAAUGAUUCGCUUUUCUUUCGUGCCAAAGGUAUCAUAGGGCUUUCCAAUGCUAGUCGUUCUUUUUCUUCGUCAGUAAUAUUCAAAUGAUUCAUUUCUUCUAAGCCUUCUGAUGGAAUGGUUAUAUUUAAUUGCUCAGGACUCAUAAAUACAGAUGUAUCACUAGAGGAUGCAGUAUCAAAUGAUGUGCUAGGAUGAUUUGUUUCUAAUACUUCUUCGCCCUCAUUUUCAGUGCUAUCUUUCGUUUCUUCUAAAUUAACUUCUUCUUCGCAAAGUUCAUCCGAUACAGUUAGAGAUUCGCUUAAAUUUUCAAGAGAUUUUUCUAAACUUUCUUUUGGCGGUGAAAAAGCAAUUGGUUUAUUCGAUGAAAUAUCGCCGUACAUUUCGAGCACUUUACUCGCCCCUGUUUGAAUUGUUUCUAAAUCUGAUAGUACCAUUACUGCUGCUAAUGUAUGUACAAGAGGACCAUGAGAAAUUAUUAGAAACACUUGAGAAAGUAGGAACAGGGCUACUACAGUGCUCACGUGUUUCCUCUCUUCCUGUUAAAAAAAAAAAAAAAAUUAUU